AAAAAGAGAAGUCAUGGGUUUCCGUGUCCAACUUUAACUAUCCGUCUUAUAUAAAAUUUUUUUAUAAUUCAUAUUUUUAUUGUUGUUAGAUGAUAAAACAUGAUUAAUAUUUUAUUCGUGACUUAUCUUUUUAAUUUUUUUUCAUAAUUUUUUAAAUAAGACGGACAGUCAAACGUUGGGCAUGGAAAACAUGGUUUGUCUUUUU
rfam:Oryza sativa (indica cultivar-group) chromosome 9, whole genome shotgun sequence.